rnacentral:rRNA from 1 species
GUGGGGAAUUUUGGACAAUGGGCGCAAGCCUGAUCCAGCAAUGCCGCGUGCAGGAAGAAGGCCUUCGGGUUGUAAACUGCUUUUGUACGGAACGAAAAGGCUCUGGCUAAUACCUGGAGCUCAUGACGGUACCGUAAGAAUAAGCACCGGCUAACUACGUGCCAGCAGCCGCGGUAAUACGUAGGGUGCGAGCGUUAAUCGGAAUUACGGGGCGUAAAGCGUGCGCAGGCGGUGCGGUAAGACAGGCGUGAAAUCCCCGGGCUCAACCUGGGGAUUGCGCUUGUGACUGCAGCGCUGGAGUGCGGCAGAGGGGGAUGGAAUUCCGCGUGUAGCAGUGAAAUGCGUAGAUAUGCGGAGGAACACCGAUGGCGAAGGCAAUCCCCUGGGCCUGCACUGACGCUCAUGCACGAAAGCGUGGGGAGCAAACAGGAUUAGAUACCCGUGUAGUCC